GGCUCAGUGGUCUAGUAGUAUGAUUCUCGCUUCGGGUUUUCCCGCCAAUUAUUUGGUACAAUUGCGAGAGGUCCCGGGUUCAAUUCCCGGCUGAGCCC